CUGUCCUUCAUGACAACAGAAGCCACAGAAAUCCUCCUCAUCAAAAACAUGACUUUGAUCUGCGUCCUCAUCUGGACUCUCCUCUGCUGCUGCUUCACAGAGUCCAGAGGCCAGGUCACAGUGACUCAGCCUGGAGCAGUGAGCUCUGCUCUGGGAGGCUCCGUCUCCAUCAGAUGUAGGACCAGUCAGGAUGUUCAUGUUUAUAGCAACUACCACCACCUUUUAGCCUGGUACCAACAGAGAGAUGGAGAAAUUCCUAAACUCCUCAUUUAUCGUGCUAGCACUCGAGUAUCAGGGAUUCCAGGUCGUUUUACAGGCAGUGGAUCAAACUCUGACUUCACUCUGACCAUCAGUGGAGUCCAGACUGAAGAUGCAGCAGUUUACUACUGUCAGAGUGCACAUUACAUCAACAGUCAGUAUGUGUUCACACAGUGAAAAAGCGUCGUACGAAAACCUCCC